GACGAACCGUGCGAACGUUUAUUCGGAAUCACUGGGCUUAAAGCGCGUGUAGGCGGGGCGGAACGUCGGAUGCUGAAAGCCCCCGGCUCAACCGGGGAAGUGGCACCGAUACGACCGCCCUUGAGGGACGUAGGGGGACCUGGAACUUCCGGUGGAGCGGUGAAAUGCGUUGAGAUCGGAAGGAACGCCCGUGGCGAAAGCGAGGUCCUGGACGUUUUUCUGACGCUGAGACGGCGAAAAGCCCAGGGGAGCGAACGGGG
rnacentral:rRNA from 1 species